GCCGACUGAGCAGUUUGGUUUAUCGCGCUAUCCGUACCCGCCACCAUGGAAACCAAAACAAACCGGAAACGGCUCAACUGUCAGAUCGCACACUGUGAAAGAAAAACUCAGUAUACGGAAGAUGUCAGUUCCAUUGUCAAAUACAAACCUUCGUAUCCCACGUGGCUUUGCAAAUCUUCUCGAAGGGUUAACCCGUGAAAUUUUAAGAGAGCAGCCAAAGGAUAUCCCUGUGUUUGGCGCCAAGUACUUUGAAACACUCUUAAAACAAAGACAAGAGUCUAACUACGACCCAGCUGAAUUGGGAGCGUCACUAGAUGACAGGUUCUACAACAACCACGUCUUUAAG